UCCGGCUAACUUCGUGCCAGCAGCCGCGGUAAUACGAAGGGACCUAGCGUAGUUCGGAAUUACUGGGCUUAAAGAGUUCGUAGGUGGUUAAAAAAGUUGGUGGUGAAAUCCCAGAGCUUAACUCUGGAACUGCCAUCAAAACUUUUUAGCUAGAGUAUGAUAGAGGGAAGUAGAAUUUCUAGUGUAGAGGUGAAAUUCGUAGAUAUUAGAAAGAAUACCGAUUGCGAAGGCAGCUUUCUGGAUCAUUACUGACACAGAGGAACGAAAGCAUGGGUAGCGAAGAGGAUUAGAUACCCUCGUAGUCCAUGCCGUAAACGAUGUGUGUUAGACGUUGGAAAUUUAUUUUCAGUGUCGCAGCGAAAGCAAUAAACACACCGCCUGGGGAGUACGACCGCAAGGUUAAAACUCAAAUGAAUUGACGGGGACCCGCACAAGUAGUGGAGCAUGUGGUUUAAUUCGAAGAUACGCGCAGAACCUUACCAACACUUGACAUAUUCGUCGCGACUCUAAGAGAUUAGAGUUUUCGGUUCGGCCGGACGAAACACAGGCGCUGCAUGGCUGUCGUCAGCUCGUGUCGUGAGAUGUUGGGUUAAGUCCCGCAACGAGCGCAACCCUUACUUUUAGUUGCCAUCAUUUAGUUGGGAGCUCUAAAAGAACUGCCAGUGAUAAGCUGGAGGAAGGUGGGGAUGACGUCAAGUCCUCAUGGCCCUUAUGUGUUGGGCUACACACGUGCUACAAUGGCAUUUACAAUAGGAAGCAAGGCGGCGACGUCAAGCAAAUCCUAAAAGAAUGCCUCAGUUCGGAUUGUACUCUGCAACUCGAGUACAUGAAGCUGGAAUUACUAGUAAUCGUGGAUCAGCGUGCCACGGUGAAUGCGUUCCCGGGUCUUGUACACACCGCCCGUCACACCAUGGGAGUUGGUUCUACCUUAAGGCAAAGUUAAAAC
rnacentral:rRNA from 1 species